AACAACCAAAAAAUCACAUAAAUAAAAUACUCUAAUCAUCGCAAUUCUCAAAUUUGAUACAAAAUUGCACACAAAAAAUCACCACCCUCUGAAGUUAUUAACCUACUAACCAAUCAUUACUCAUGAAUUCUCAAAUAAAAAAUAAAAAAAUUGAACCACCAAAAUCUUGCAAUCUAACAAAUCAUGAUCUAAAUUGGCUUACCAUCCUUCAAGGCAACUAGAGCUCUUCUGUUGAGGAGGAGGCUGAGCAUAUCCCUGUUGUGGUGGGUAGCCCUGUUGUGGGUAUCCCUGCUGUGGGUAUCCCUGCUGUGGGUAGCCCUGUUGAGGUGCAUACCCUUGUGGAGGGUACCCUGGAGGAGGGUAUGCAUCCUUGGGAGGGUAACCUACAUCAUCAAAACAACAACAACAAUAUCAACAACCACCACCGUAUCAAAAUCAAACCAAAACCAACAUGCAACACCAAAAUCAAUCACAU
rnacentral:lncRNA from 1 species